GGCCGGGGCCGCCGCUGGCGGAGGGGCGGGCGGGGCGGCCGCGUGGAGCCGCCGGCGGGGCUGGUGCCGUCUGUGGGGCCGUGCCGCGGCCGGGGGACAGUGUUCGUCCCGGGGCCGGGGUCGCCGUGGCGCCCCGAGGAGCAGGAGCGGUUUCAUCCUCCUCCCGAGCUUCCCAACCCGCGGCCGGGCUCCCCUGUGGUCGUCCCUGGGGAGGGGAGCGACUCCCUCCUGUGUGUAAGCGAAGGCCGGGACAGGGCGGGAGUUAAUUGUUUCUAAACGUUACCUUUCAUCCUUUAGCUUCGAUGCCCUGGUGCCUGGGUUUUCUGUUUCCCCCUUUCAUAGCUCAGACUGUUGAAAGCUACGCAGGUGUAAGAGAUGGUGAGCACGGUGGGUUUUUCCCUUAUCCGUUGUGCUUUUUGCCUUCUCUGUUAGGACUGCUAACACCCGCUGUGCUUUGUUAAUAAGAAAUAAAAGAAAACGAUGCAUUGAAGAGGUUUAGCAGAGAAUGAAGCCAUCCUAGUAGAAGCAAUCCUUGCAGACCAUAAGCGGAAGAGUGUCUGCUGAAGUUGGUUCUUGGCUUUGCUGCUGGGUGUUUUUGUGUCAGUUUGUGUCUCGCACAAUUGAUAUUACUCACAGUGACAUAAAGCGUGGAAAAAAUAGUUACUCAAACUUAUUAAGAAUAGAAGCAUUGUUUGUUACUUCUUCAUUGUCUUUCCCGAGUGUCACCAGAACAUUGUACAGCUGAAGUGUGAAGGAGAAUCAGUAUACUGGUAACGAGAAGGAAGAUCAUAAUUUCGGGGCAAGCUUUGAAGCCUACUUGGUAUUUAUUAAUGAUAGUCCCCGGUCAUUAUCCUGGAGUUAUAUAGUAUAGUAAAUAUUUGGGAAGAGGAAGAGUAACUUAUUUCUGUAUAGUGGCCCUUAUGAAAGGGAAAACUUGAAUUAGAGUAUUUCUGCAGUAUUCUCUUCAAUUGUCUGUGUAUCUGUUGCUUCGGUACACAUAGCAUUUUCAAGGAGUGGUAAAAACUGACCAGUUGUAGAAUGUAGCCCUAAAAAUAUAGCAGCUAACAGCAGACUGUUGCUGUUGCAAGCAGACUAGUGUCAGAUGGACAGUGGUGUGUGUGUGUCUUUUUGUUAGCAAGUUUGAGGGAACGAUGAAAAACGGAAUAGUUAAGAGCAGGAUAUAGGUUGGCAUCUUUAAUUCCAUUUCUGUAAGUGUAAAAGCUGUUUUAUCAGUUUUGGACUGAGUAACAACUGUUAUAUUUGAUUUCUUUUGUUCCUGCUUUCAUGAAAUAAAGAGAACAGAUGCUUCAAAACUGUCUUCUAUCAGAUGUAUAAUUUGCUUUGUGAACUACUGUUCAUUCAAAUCGACUGUGAGUGGCCCUGAUGGUCUGCUUCUGACAGUCCAACAAAUGCCUGUGAUUAUUUUUUGCUUUACACUUUUUUUUUCCUUGUCCUCGUGUAUUCUUCUGGUACAGCACAGUGGUGCCUCUUGCAUGGAGUCUGUACCGAGGAAGGUGACUUAAUGAAAACAGUGGAAAGUUUUCACCUUUCUACCUGCUGAAGAUGUCUCCCAAUGGAUGUUACACAAAGUGUUCUCAGGACACCAACAGUGUGGUUUGCAAAUUUCUGUGACACCUGUGCUGAAGAGAAGUGUUGGCAUAAAUUUGCUUGCUUUGCAAACAAAGUGGCUCCUAUUGCAAGUCCUUAGAAUGUCUUACUGAAAUUCUGCUAAAACUCUUCUAUUAUCUUACUGAUUUAAAUGUCUCAUCUGUGCUCUCACAAAGUAACAAGACUUCGUCAGUCAUCUUGAUGAUGACCGGGGUUGUUAUGUGCCCGAACUGGGGACGAAUUUUGGUGGGUGUCAGGGAAGUUAGUGAUCUCUUUCUCUCCACACAUGCCUCAUAUCUUGGCAGUGGCAUAAGGAAUCCUUUCAAAUGGGACUGCUUUGAAAGCAAAAGCAUGCUAUGUAGGUUGCUUUUGUGUCUGUGUAUGCAAAAUAGAAGAUGUAUCCAUCUUCUCUGUGAGAAUGUGAAGGUAUUUUUAGAACGCUCGUUAUUUCAGAGGAACAGUGAAGUAAAAGAAAGCAAUAUUAGUAAUGAAGAGAAGUUCUAAACGUCAGUAUGUUACCUUAAAACAUACAUAAUGGUGCAGUAAUACCUACUUUUCUGGCCUCCUUUUUAAAUUUGGUACAAGUAGAGCAUCUUAUAGUUAACUUCUAUUUUCAUCUGAUUAAUUCCUUAUUUUAUUAUAUAAUGGUGUAAUUUGGAUUUAGAUCAAGUGCAGUUUUGUUUCACAUUACACAGUAGAAAAUUAAAAAGCACUGCCAUGACAGGAUUAAAAGCUAACAAUGAAACCCUAACUGAUAAGAUAGGCUAAAUUUGCAUAACUUUAAAAAACGUUCAUACUGUCAGAGUAUUCUGCAAAAAUAAUAGCACCAAAAUUUGGGAAGACUGAGGGAGAACUGUGUUACAUUGCAGACACUUGAUAACUUGAUUGAAGUAUCUGAAUGCUUGUUUAUAAAAUGCUUCUGAAAUUAAAUGUGAACAUAGAUUUCCAAUCUUAAUAGUUUAACAAAAAGGGGAGGAAAAAUAUAUGGCUAGCUACUGUAUCAGCAUGAUAAUGGGAUUCUAAGGUUUUUUUUAUUCUAUUUUUGAUAGCUUGAAUGUGGUUUUGUUUUCUGAUUAAUUUUUGAGAGAUUUGUAGCAGACAAAUUAUCUAUGCAUACUGUUAUAUUGGCAUUUUUUAAUUAGGAAUGUCUUUCGCAAGAUGUGAUAAGCAAAAGUGGUUGGUAUUCUUCAUCCAGCUCAGGAAUACAAGGAACGACUGCAAUAUCAAAGAAAAUUGACUCUCUCCAGUUGUUUUUACAACACAGAAAAAGACACUGAUUGCAUGUGGAUUCGGAGUCACUGAUGUUGAGGAGGUUUGUUAAAUAAGGCAUCAUUGAAGUGCUCUCUUUGGAACUGGUCAUCUUCUAAAUUAUUGAAUUGAAUGGUAUUGCAGUUUAGACUGUGAUGAAUAGAAAUACAAGAUUUCUGUUAUUCCUUUUAAGACAGUAUUGUGAUCUGCUUUGGGUUUAUUUAGUAGUAAAGAUUAGUAGUGGCAGCCUGUGCUUGUUCUACAGAUCAAUGUGUUUAACUCAUCCCUAGUGAUUAGAGAUGUGUAGUCUAUAUAAGAAUUUUUACAACUAAGGGAUAACAUGGGUUUAGUUGCAUAUUAUAGAAGUCCUAAUAUGUCACUGGUUUAUGCCAUCAUGAAGUGCUUGGGCUGAUUCAGCUUGCAUUGGUUUAGCAAACAAAAAUAUCCCAUGUGUUUAAUUAUCUACUUGCAUGGAGUCCAUAAGAAAGAGAGCUCUCUUGAAGUAAGUUUAGUUUCUUAAGUUUAGUAAAAUCACCAGCAACUUUGGAAGUACAGGUGAAAGAACAUAUAUGAGCACAGACAUCAUGUAAGUUUUCCUUCUAUAGGGAACUAGACUAGUAAUUCUACUGACUCAGUGUCUUAUAUUAUUGGAACGUGUAUCUGAUGUGGCCACCUCAGAUGUUUUGUAGUUGUAUUUUAAAAGAAGUAGAGGAUUAACAUCACCUUAUGAUCAUCUUUUGCCAUUUGAGAAUGUGAAUUUAAACAGAAUUCAGACAUAUGAAGACUAAAAAUUACUUUGGUUUAUUAUUAGUUCUGGGGCUUCUGCAUACUCUCACCUGCCUGGUGGUAGAUCAGGGCAGCUAGUUCCAGAUGUACCAGCUGCAUUCACAGUUGAUUGCAACUGUAUUUAAUUGAAGGUAUGCCACUCAGAGAUUGGAAAAGUUGUGGUUAUGACCAGGCAUCUAGGAGUCCCUUGUAGAUAAUUGAAUUUUAUCUCUGUUCACUUUUUCAUUGAAAGAAAGGAUAUAUAACGUACGCUUUUUCUAAGCUUCACAUAUGGAGGAGAAAGGGUAGCACAGCUCUGGUGUGUAUGCAAGGAAUGCACGGAAGGAAAGUACACAGGCUUUCUUCCCAGUUGCUCGUGUGCAGCAGAUUGUCCGAUCCCUUUUUCCUGUUGAAUGGGGAAGUAGCAAGAGGUACAACAAAUGUGAUUUGUAGCUUUUACUACAUUUGCUGGAGGCCCUUCCGAUUUUUUGUGUAGCUAGCGGGGUCCAGGUAUACAAGAGAACCAUAUUAUAGAUUGAACACUUAUUUCUGACAAAAUUCAUAGGUGUAGUUUAGACUAGGUUGUGCAUGACUUUGUGAGCUGUUUCUUCAGUGAUUGUAAGCUUGCUAGAUUUUCAGUUUCACAGUUGUAUGACCCUUCAUAGCAAGGGACUCAAAGGCCACUCUCGGGGUCUUCCCCGAAGGGGUAAUGAUUAUCACCUGCUGUCUGAAAUAAGGAAAUUAUGGCAGUGCUUUACAUUUACCUUUUUCUUUUUUUGCAAGAGGUGUUGAAGGACACUUUGUUUGUUGUAUUUCUGGAAAUUCUUUAGUGAGGGCUGAAUUUUUUGGAAUUCGGCUGCUGAAACUAAUCAGAUUUGGUUCACUGACCUUACAUUCUUUUCCUUCAGUAAGGUGCAAUAAAUUUCAAACUGUAAGCUGGUGGAUUUUAGAACAUAAGCAGUAGUUAUUCCUUUGAAUGAAAAAGAAUUUCAGGUUAGCUGAAUAGACAUGGCAGUUUUCUUUUGAGUACCUACCUGUGCAGUGAAGUGACAUUCUGUGUUAAUCUAUGAAAAGGCAAGAUACUUGUGCAUUCCUGUUUCUUGCAAGAAAGCGAGGGAGAAAGUUAGGUUACCAAAUGAUUGCAUUUAGUGAUGUCAAAAUGCAGGGCAAAGUCCAUAAAUUUGCUGGAACUUUUACAAGACUCUUGUACCUACAAUUAUUAGUCUGAGUGGUCUAAAUUUGUAAAUUUGGGUAUAAAUAUUAAUAUUCCUUAUUUCUACAAAACUGAUCUUAAGUCUGAAGUUCAAACUUCAAUUGCAUACCUAGAACUUUUGCAGUUGUCUCUCAAAAUCAUGUAUUUUCUGGGACUGUGGUUAGUGGGGCUGUAUUGUUGAUUUAUACGGAUAACUAUAUUGAAAAUAACCUUUUCAUGGAAUCACAUGAACAACUGCUUCAUGUUUUUUCAUAUCUUGGUGUUUGUUUCCUUAAAGCUAACAAACAUAAUCUUUCCUCUUUUUCAUUCUUUGUCCUAUACUCAUUUGGGAUCUGCAUUCUAACAUGGAGAUAAUGUAACAAAAAAAUUUGUUUUUGUUUGGUUUUACAGCUGUGUCAUGAAACACUUCUCUGUUGUACAGGGUUGCAGAUAUAAACCCACUUGUGGAAUAUUGCUGUUUUCUUCAGAAUGCUGUUAUUUGCUUGUUUUCCAGCAGAAAAUUUGAAAUGAAAGAAGGGUGAAAAGGAAGUACUGUGCUAAUUUUGUGCUUAUUGAAUUACUGAUAAAGAUACUUGGAUUUCUUGCAUCUGCAAUUUUAAGUAGGAGCCAUUAUAAUCAUAGAAGAGAGUAAAAUGAACAAUUCUGAUCAGCUGCAUUUCCUGUUAGUUAUUUAUCAUGUCUUAAAUUGUGAGGGUUUUUUUCAAAAUUACUAUUCAGCUGUUGCAAUUUUUAUUUGACCUCUUUUAUGUAUGCACUGGAUUAUAGCCUUUAACUGUAUGAGUGCCAACUCUUUGCUGCGUAGUACCUUUGCAUCCUUUCUGUCACACAGCAAAGUGAGUAAAUGAGGCAAAGAGGACAGAGAAACUCAGGUGCUAAAGUAACUGUGCUGUGACCAUGAGAGCAGAUGGAGAGGGUUAGUUUGUCAUUAAAAAGUCUCAUCUCCCAGUUUACUGCAUUAUUACAAUGGAAGUUUGCAUGGUAACCUUGUUUCAUGUUUGUAGUAACUCUUCAGCAUUUGCUUUUGCAAUAUUAGUGUUCUUUUCAACAAAGUAAUCGUAUGUAUGAUAACAUUAUCUAGGCUCAGGAUUACAUUGGUUUACUGGAAGUAGCAGGUUGAUGGCUGUAGGGUGUUGUGAGACUUUGGUUGUUUUUCUUCAUUUACAGGCUGGUUUCCUGUUGCUACGUAGCCUAAUCUUACAAAUUUGUACUCUUGUGUAAGCUUAUUCCUGGGAUACCUGAAAGUUUAGUUUUGUAUAAGGAAGCAGCGUGCGGAUUUUCCAGUUUUUAAAUUCUCUACUGUUGGAAGUACUGGGAAAUGGUAUAGUCCCAAUAAGAGAUUCUGAAUUUCCAUCAAAGCUUGGAGACUUUUCUAGAACGCUUUUUUAGUGAAACUUCUAACCCUACUCAACUGUUUAAAAUUGUACUUACCAAAGGCCUCCUCAGCAUAUUUGUGCAGUUCUCACAAUUUUAGUAGUGAUAUCAGGCAACAUACAAAACUGUGAAAGCAGAGAUGAACUGGUGUAUUGCUUGGAGACGUAAGAUCAGGCAGGAUAAGUAACAUUUUUACUAGAUGAGCAUGAAAGCUUAUGUAAUAUAGAAAUUGAACUAAUAUUCAAAACCAGAGUUACUCCAUAUAAUGGAUAAAUGGAAACUUUCUUCUGGGAAAAUAACAGCUGUGCGUUGGGAGAUGGGGAUCUUUUAGCAAGGCAAGUGUGCUGGCUGCUAGGCCAAGUAAGUGUGUUUUAUUAAUCAAGUUUGCUUUCACGGUAGUCACAAGGAAGUAUGUUGUUCCUGGGAAGCUGUUUCAUUCUUUGCAAAUCCUCUGCAUUGGGAUACUCUAGGAAGGAGAGUAAAAGUAAAGGAAAAUAAUUCUUCAUCUAACUAAAUUCUUAAGCACCAAUAUAUGACUUUUUUUUUCUUUUUAAAAUCCUAGCCUCUUGAAUUCAUGUAUGCAUUCAGAAAAUUAUAUCCAGUAACGCAUUUGGAGAACACACUGUUGACUGACUGAAUAAGAUUUUCUUAUACAUUGUUCUUGCAUAACAAUAUAACUGGAGCCUUAACAACAUGCUAAAGCAUUAAUAUUAUUAUUAUAUUAAUAAUUACUUUAUUAGUGGGAAUGAUGUUUCUUUUUUUGUUAGCCAACUCUGUAUGAAUUCUUUUUACACUUACGCACCUUGCACACAAAUUUUACAUAUUGUAGAAAGUAGCAAAAGUUACGUAGGCUUCUCAAAAUGGCUAUAGGUUUCUAUUCCUUUAUCUUCAUAGCUGCUGAUGUGGAAAGCCUUAAUACUAGUAACAAAUUGCCAUUCUAUAGUUAAUGAAUAUUGCUAGAGCUUUCAACAGAAGCCUUCAUGGAUAGCAGUGGGUGAGGGAUACCUGAAUCUUUAGGCCGUCAAGCUCUGAGAUGAGGGUUAGAGGCCAUGUUAAUACUCAAGAUGAUCUUCUAAUGCCAGGUAAUAUUUGUUCCAGCUGCUUAAUUCUAUGAGUCUGAAUAUGUAUUUAGGUGUACUUCUUUGUAUACAACUUAAGCUAAACCUUAAGAUAUCCUUGUCAGUUUAUUUCGGUUAAAUACAAACAUACAUUGGCUAAAACAUAAAUGUGUCAAGAAGAUGGUUAGAAGUUGUAGGCCUUGUCUGCAUUUGUAUUUGCAUCAGUGUGGCUAUAGUGUAGAUAUUUCUUUUGUAUCAGAUAUGACUGAUGUAAUCAAAGAUUGUUACUUUGAGCUUCAUUACAUCAUCCCUGAUUUGGUGAUGGUGUAGUGUGCCUAAUGGUUUGUAUUCUCAUCUAUGGUUUGUAGAGGGUUUUUGUAUUUUAUUUUUUUUUAACUGAUAAAAACCAUGUGAGUCAACCUUUUUAAAAACACCCUAACUUUAUUGAAUUGUUUCAGUAGUUACUCAUAGUUGCGGUAAUUAAGUUGCUUGUGCCUUGUUUUCUUACUACCAGCCAUUUUUGUGCUAAAGGCGUAUGAUAGAUAGGGUUGUAUUACAUCCCCAGCUGUUAAUAGAGAAAGCCUGGUUAGCUUCCUGGGUGAGGAGCUCUUUAGGAUGUUAUGUUUGAUCAUAGUAAAUGAAAUAAGGUACCGUGUUUACUGAAAAUCAGUUUUUGAGACUCCUCUUGCAAAUGUUAUUUUAAACACUUUUUAAAAUGACAACUUUUGACACUCUUGGAAAAAAAGCAAUCGAUUUCCGUAGUAUUUGAGUAAUUGUUAGUAACAGUGAAGACUGUAUUGAACUGGCUAAAUAAAAAUCUUUGAUAUUUCUUAAGUUGUGAAGAUUGUGCUUUUCUUGUGGCUUCUGCCCUUCUCCUUUACCCUUUUUGAAGACUUUGCAAGAAUGCCCGGACUGUGUGUUCUGCCUGCUGUUCUCUAUACAGUUUCUUGACAUUGCAGAGCUGUAGAAUGGGAUUUUAGGUUACAAUGUCCUUCAGGCUGUAUUGUGUUUUGUGUGUCCUCCAAAGGACUUCAAAUGGAAUUUUAAGCUGAAGUUUAAUCUCUUUGACUUUUCCUUGAGCUGUUUCCCUACAAAUUUAGAUCAGAUUAUGCUGGCACUGAGAGUUAGUGUGUGAAUUGAAAACUAGCUUGAUGUGAUCAUGGAUACCUUGAACCACCGAAAAGACAGAAGCGUUUUGUGUUAGUUGGGUGAUACGUAUAUACUUUCUGUUAAUCUUCAGGUAUAAUGAGUUCCAUGAAUCUGACUCAGAGGGGAACUUCUGACUUAUAAUCCGUGCUUACAUUCAGAAGAGAAAGUGUUGAUGUGUGCUAGCAAGUUGAAAGGGCAAGAACCUCCUUGGAAUAUAACACUUUUCAGGCUUAGUGAAGAUUUCUUAACCUGAAAUGGGUAAAGUACCCACAUCGUGGCGGUCUGAAGAUUAAAAUUUCAGUGUGUUUUGUCAAUGGAUAGCAGGUAUACUUGCUAACAGAGCACAAACUAAAUGAUUUGCAAGAGUGCGUUGGUGCACUCAGCAUCUACUAAGUGUCAUGGUAAGUAUACUCUAGUGAGGCAUUUAAAACUAGAACAUCUGGUAUCACUUCAUACCGUGAAACUAGUGUGCUGACAAAAGGAGUUAAUCUAAAUGUGGAGGUAGCUUAAAUGUGUUACACUUCAAGACUUGAAGGGGAAAAUAUUAUUUCAAAACAGCCUUUUUUUUGCUGUGUGCAAGGAGACAUAAUGUGUUGCCCUCUACACUGCUGUCAUUAACAGUUAAACUUCUCAUUAUUUUUUGUUCCUGUUAUGUGCAUAGGAAACUGGUCUCUUGCUUUGUAAUUUUGUAUGCGUAGCUGUUGGAAACAGUAAAUUGUGCUCUUGUGAUACCUAUUUGGCUGUGCUAAUACCAAGGAAAAUAGUAUUUCCACCAAAUAUCUUUCAAAUAACUUACUGCAUUUUAAUUAUUAAAAUGUUACAUCAGAAACAAACGAGAUAAUAAGCAUUACCUUUGUGUCUUAUUUAGGUGUUAAAUUUGACUUAGUAUCUAUGAGUGGGGAGGUGACAAUUGCUGGCUUUGUUGCUGAA